CAUUCACCUACUCUGCGUCUCCUCUGAACAGUUGAUGUUGAGCAGAAGUAACUCGGGGUCCUCCUUUCCUGUGGCGGUCCACAUGAGAGCCAGUUUCAUCAUAGCGCUUGAUGUUUUUUGCGACAGGACAUUUUCCCGAUUGACUGACCUGAAAACAUUGAUGGACUGUCGUUUCUCUUUGAUAUUUGCAUACUGUUUCUCUUUGUCCCCCCCACCCCCACCUUGUCACAACACAAC